rnacentral:rRNA from 1 species
AGCGUACACGGUGGAUGCCCUGGCAGUCAGAGGCGAUGAAGGACGUGCUAAUCUGCGAUAAGCGUCGGUAAGGUGAUAUGAACCGUUAUAACCGGCGAUUUCCGAAUGGGGAAACCCAGUGUGAUUCGUCACACUAUCAUUAACUGAAUCCAUAGGUUAAUGAGGCGAACCGGGGGAACUGAAACAUCUAAGUACCCCGAGGAAAAGAAAUCAACCGAGAUUCCCCCAGUAGCGGCGAGCGAACGGGGAGCAGCCCAGAGCCUGAAUCAGUGUGUGUGUUAGUGGAAGCGUCUGGAAAGGCGUGCGAUACAGGGUGACAGCCCCGUACACAAAAAUGCACAUGCUGUGAGCUCGAUGAGUAGGGCGGGACACGUGGUAUCCUGUCUGAAUAUGGGGGGACCAUCCUCCAAGGCUAAAUACUCCUGACUGACCGAUAGUGAACCAGUACCGUGAGGGAAAGGCGAAAAGAACCCCGGCGAGGGGAGUGAAAAAGAACCUGAAACCGUGUACGUACAAGCAGUGGGAGCACGCUUAGGCGUGUGACUGCGUACCUUUUGUAUAAUGGGUCAGCGACUUAUAUUCUGUAGCAAGGUUAACCGAAUAGGGGAGCCGAAGGGAAACCGAGUCUUAACUGGGCGUUAAGUUGCAGGGUAUAGACCCGAAACCCGGUGAUCUAGCCAUGGGCAGGUUGAAGGUUGGGUAACACUAACUGGAGGACCGAACCGACUAAUGUUGAAAAAUUAGCGGAUGACUUGUGGCUGGGGGUGAAAGGCCAAUCAAACCGGGAGAUAGCUGGUUCUCCCCGAAAGCUAUUUAGGUAGCGCCUCGUGAAUUCAUCUCCGGGGGUAGAGCACUGUUUCGGCAAGGGGGUCAUCCCGACUUACCAACCCGAUGCAAACUGCGAAUACCGGAGAAUGUUAUCACGGGAGACACACGGCGGGUGCUAACGUCCGUCGUGAAGAGGGAAACAACCCAGACCGCCAGCUAAGGUCCCAAAGUCAUGGUUAAGUGGGAAACGAUGUGGGAAGGCCCAGACAGCCAGGAUGUUGGCUUAGAAGCAGCCAUCAUUUAAAGAAAGCGUAAUAGCUCACUGGUCGAGUCGGCCUGCGCGGAAGAUGUAACGGGGCUAAACCAUGCACCGAAGCUGCGGCAGCGACACUAUGUGUUGUUGGGUAGGGGAGCGUUCUGUAAGCCUGUGAAGGUGUACUGUGAGGUAUGCUGGAGGUAUCAGAAGUGCGAAUGCUGACAUAAGUAACGAUAAAGCGGGUGAAAAGCCCGCUCGCCGGAAGACCAAGGGUUCCUGUCCAACGUUAAUCGGGGCAGGGUGAGUCGACCCCUAAGGCGAGGCCGAAAGGCGUAGUCGAUGGGAAACAGGUUAAUAUUCCUGUACUUGGUGUUACUGCGAAGGGGGGACGGAGAAGGCUAUGUUGGCCGGGCGACGGUUGUCCCGGUUUAAGCGUGUAGGCUGGUUUUCCAGGCAAAUCCGGAAAAUCAAGGCUGAGGCGUGAUGACGAGGCACUACGGUGCUGAAGCAACAAAUGCCCUGCUUCCAGGAAAAGCCUCUAAGCAUCAGGUAACAUCAAAUCGUACCCCAAACCGACACAGGUGGUCAGGUAGAGAAUACCAAGGCGCUUGAGAGAACUCGGGUGAAGGAACUAGGCAAAAUGGUGCCGUAACUUCGGGAGAAGGCACGCUGAUAUGUAGGUGAAGUCCCUCGCGGAUGGAGCUGAAAUCAGUCGAAGAUACCAGCUGGCUGCAACUGUUUAUUAAAAACACAGCACUGUGCAAACACGAAAGUGGACGUAUACGGUGUGACGCCUGCCCGGUGCCGGAAGGUUAAUUGAUGGGGUCAGCGCAAGCGAAGCUCUUGAUCGAAGCCCCGGUAAACGGCGGCCGUAACUAUAACGGUCCUAAGGUAGCGAAAUUCCUUGUCGGGUAAGUUCCGACCUGCACGAAUGGCGUAAUGAUGGCCAGGCUGUCUCCACCCGAGACUCAGUGAAAUUGAACUCGCUGUGAAGAUGCAGUGUACCCGCGGCAAGACGGAAAGACCCCGUGAACCUUUACUAUAGCUUGACACUGAACAUUGAGCCUUGAUGUGUAGGAUAGGUGGGAGGCUUUGAAGUGUGGACGCCAGUCUGCAUGGAGCCGACCUUGAAAUACCACCCUUUAAUGUUUGAUGUUCUAACGUUGACCCGUGAUCCGGGUUGCGGACAGUGUCUGGUGGGUAGUUUGACUGGGGCGGUCUCCUCCUAAAGAGUAACGGAGGAGCACGAAGGUUGGCUAAUCCUGGUCGGACAUCAGGAGGUUAGUGCAAUGGCAUAAGCCAGCUUGACUGCGAGCGUGACGGCGCGAGCAGGUGCGAAAGCAGGUCAUAGUGAUCCGGUGGUUCUGAAUGGAAGGGCCAUCGCUCAACGGAUAAAAGGUACUCCGGGGAUAACAGGCUGAUACCGCCCAAGAGUUCAUAUCGACGGCGGUGUUUGGCACCUCGAUGUCGGCUCAUCACAUCCUGGGGCUGAAGUAGGUCCCAAGGGUAUGGCUGUUCGCCAUUUAAAGUGGUACGCGAGCUGGGUUUAGAACGUCGUGAGACAGUUCGGUCCCUAUCUGCCGUGGGCGCUGGAGAACUGAGGGGGGCUGCUCCUAGUACGAGAGGACCGGAGUGGACGCAUCACUGGUGUUCGGGUUGUCAUGCCAAUGGCACUGCCCGGUAGCUAAAUGCGGAAGAGAUAAGUGCUGAAAGCAUCUAAGCACGAAACUUGCCCCGAGAUGAGUUCUCCCUGACUCCUUGA